CUUAAAACUGAAAGAAUGCCAGCUAUUUUAGCCAGCCACUUACAUCAUGCAGCCUCCGUCUUUGGGAGAGUAGUUGCCCUUCCUUGCCUUGUUUCUCAGGUCCCCGCCCCACACUGCAGGCAAUCUGGGUCCUUCUGAAGGCAUCUUGUUGCCACUUAGCAAACCCAGUCCCUUAGAACAUGACAUCAGCCUGAGCAACAAAGACAGAGGACAGGUUCCUGUCAGAGACAAGACAUUGGGUCCAUGAUGCCAACUCUCUGGGUGGCCUGUUUAAUGGGGAGAAAAAAUUAAAUACCCCAGCCAAGUCCUAUGGAAACCAAAGAGGGUAAGUAAUUUAUUUAUACUGGGGUAGAAGAGGUGAGCAGUAUUUCUGUCUUGCUCACUAUUUCCUGAAGACUUCCUAGACAUAAACGUUCGUUAACAUCCCAGAAAGAGGACAUAUUUUUCUCUGUGGUUUUCAAUAUUUUCUGCUAAAUAUAUUCCAGUGAACUGUUUACCCAGAGUUUCGGCCUUCAGACCUUUAUGUACUGCUAACACCUUGAGGCUAUUCCUCUGGGGCUUAUGGGGAGUGGUGUUUGUUCAUUAAAGAGGACUUUAGGUGCUGGCUGGCCUGAGGCACAGUUGAGGGCUGUACACCAGACUGUGCUUUCGGUGGUUUCAGGUUGAAGGAACAGUCAGAGACCUUUUUGGUUUCAAGCAUGGGGAGAAUGCCACAGAACCUGGGACCAGUC
rnacentral:lncRNA from 1 species